AGUGGCGCAAGGGUGAGUAACACGUGAAUAUCUGCCUAUGAAUUCGGGAUAACUUGACGAAAGUUGCGCUAAUACCGAAUAAGCUCUUAUGUGCAAAGGAGUCUCAAACUCCGUUUAUAGAUGAGUUCGCGGACCAUUAGCUUGUUGGCGGGAUAAUAGCCCACCAAGGCUACGAUGGUUAGCCGGCCUGAGGGGGUGAUCGGCCACACUGGAACUGAGACACGGUCCAGACUCCUACGGGAGGCAGCAGUGGGGAAUAUUGCGCAAUGGGCGAAAGCCUGACGCAGCAACGCCGCGUGAGGGAUGAAGGAUUUUGGUUCGUAAACCUCUGUCAAGUGGGAAGAAUAAUGACGGUACCACUAAAGGAAGCCCCGGCUAACUCCGUGCCAGCAGCCGCGGUAAUACGGAGGGGGCAAGCGUUGUUCGGAAUUAUUGGGCGUAAAGAGUAUGUAGGCGGCUGGAUAAGUCAAGCGUGUAAGCCCACGGCUCAACCGUGGAAUUGCGUUUGAAACUAUUCAGCUUGAGUACAGGAGAGGAAGGCGGAAUUCCCAGUGUAGCGGUGAAAUGCAUUGAUAUUGGGAAGAACACCGGGGGCGACGCGUCCUUCUGGUCUGUUACUGACGCUGAGAUACCGAAGGCAAGGGAGCAACGGGGAUUAGAUACCCUCGUAGUCUUGACGUA
rnacentral:rRNA from 1 species